CGUGGCAAAAUGGUGGCUAAUUUCAAAAUGGCUGACUUCCUGUUGGGUCAAGUUCAUGUUUGUAGAUUGGUGUUCAGAAUCGGCCUGUUGUCUCGAUCACGUAUGAAGUUUCAAGCAGAACGGAUAAUCUAUGGCGAAGUUACAGGCCACACCCUUUUGAAUCUGUGAGACCUAUGAGAUAAAUUUUCAUCCUUGAUGCGUUUAGUACAAAUUUACUUUCUUAUGUAGUUAGACUUUGUUUACUUACAAAAUGUGCAAAUACCCAAGAUGGAUGCCAAAUUCAAAAUGAUCGACUUCCUGUUGUGUUAAGGCCAUGGUUCCAAUAGACUUUUUGUUUGUCUUGGUACAAAUGUAUGCAUUUUUUUAUGUAGUUACGAUUAUUGUGCUCAGAAGAGUUUGUUCAUUUACGAAACGUGCAAAUACCCAAGAUGGAUGCCAAAUUCAAAAUGGUCGACUUCCUGUUGAGUCCCAGUGGACUUUUUUGUUCGUCUUGGGCUGUGACAUGUUUCCACCAAGUUUCAUGCAACUUAGUUUCAGCUUUUGUCCUACCACGUUUCACCUUUGACAAUUUUCACCAGUUCUAAAAUGCUUUCCAAUUUUCGUCCAUUUUAACCAACGUUUCGUGCCCAAAAAAUGUAUUCCAGGAAUUCCAAUUUCACUUAUUAUUAUUAAAAAAGAGGAUUAACUUUCUUAAAUAAAUGUUUUGAUUCGGCUGUGCCAUAUAAUUUGAUCUUAUAUCAAAGAGGAUGUCUGACUUUUGGCUUCACACGAGGAAAAACCAAUGGCCUCUCUGCCUCGGCACCUGUGAUGCAUUUGAAACCACAGACUCUCCAUCGCCCAGAAGAGAAAUCUGAUGAUGAGUUUGAUGGUAAAGGUUUUCAGGUCAUCAGCAUGGAGUGGGUUUAUUUAUCAGCAGUGAGAUGAGGAUUAUUUGAGCCCUUUUUCACUGCAGGUGAUUAUUUGUUGGUUCUUUAACCCCAACUGGUGUGGCUCAGACUCAGAGACAGAGACGGCCACCCAGUCCGUGGUGGAGUGGUUUUCAAAAUAAGAGGAUGUAUUUUAGUCAAACCAAGGUGAUUUUUUUUUUUGUUUCUUUAAGAAAAAAAAAAAAGAAAAAAAAAAGGUUCAGAUCGUGGAAGAUAAUUCGCUGGGUCUAAUCUGCUCCUCUGAGAAAAUACAAUAGUGGAUUUAUAUAAUCCAUCCAGACAAACCGUCAUUGUCUAAUGUGCCUCUUUAACUUGGCUGAUUCCUUCUUUUUGUCACAACAGUGGAAGCUGAGCUCUUUCACUUCUAAUAAAUCCCAGCCCUCCAAAGAAACAACUCUACCAUAUUACCUCUGGCUGUCAUCCUCUCUGUGAUUCAUCAUGCUCGUUCCUCUUCGGUGAAACACUUUGGGCUCUAAUGUCAUGUGUGCAGUUGUGUGUCACUCUCUCACAAGCCUCACCGCUCAUUGCUCGGCCUCUGGAGUGGAAGUGAAGCACCUCAGCGGACAACAACAGGGGCAGUGAAGCUGGAUAUAAUUAACCCUGCACUGAGCAGGACGAGGCAGCUGCCAGGAGGCACAGUUUGUUGUCUCUGCCAGUGAAACAUGAAACGACUGGAUCCUGUGAGCAACGUGCACAUGGUGGUGAAGAUUUUCUGGAUCCUAAAUGUCAUGCUGCAACAUACGGCUGACCGCACAGCCUUGUGUUCUCAUUUUUUGUUUUGCUAUAGUUUCCCGUAAAAAAAAAUAAAUAAAAAAAUGAAGAGGCCAUUGACCUCCUCGCACACAGGGUCAAAGCUUUGCAACUUGUGCAUCCUCUGUGAAACUAAAAAGUGUUCAAGAUUUCCUCAUAGAAUGUCCACACUGAGUGUGUUGAGUUUGCUCAGUACUGGACGACCACUGUAUGUUUGUGCACAGAUUUUCUAAGAACACCUCUGGGUGUAACAUGGGUGGACUCGAUUAUCAGUGCCUUUGGGCAUUGUAGUCUAUGCUAAGGCUAAAAGCCUUUAAGUACACAAAGCUCAUGACAGAUUAGAUCGACAAUAUUCUCUUUGUUGGUUUGUGCAUUAGGACUACACGUCUGACUGUGUAGCUUCAGUUGCACAAGCUGUUUUUAGGUUGUGUUGGUCAGCAAAGUCCUUUAAUUGUACAUUUAUAUUAUUUAAUUGCACCAGGCGGCCUUGAUCUUAAUGUAUCAGCCCUGAUUUGUGACCAUACAAUAAUCACACCUCCCAAAACAAUUUACAUGACAGUAUAGUAACUGUGGUAGCAGUAUGGUAAUCAUUUUGUGAGAGGUAAGUAAUAUUAUGGUAAAAACAUCUUGUUUUUUUAUAGUAUUCAUCAAGUAAGAAAGGAUGAAUGUCAACUUCAAGAAAUGGUAACUGCCAAUUUUGAUUAAUGAAGCUGUUAUACUGACUAUCUUUGCUCACAUUACCAGUCAUUAACCAGGAUUUUACCAUGGAAAUAACAUGUUAUUAUCUUAUACUGUUACCAUGUUGUCACUGGACUGUAAUGUAUGGUGUUGAGCCACUUUCCCAAACAUCAUCAUACUGCAUGUGUUAAACAGCAUUAAGAGCUUGACAGACUGGGUGAAUGAAUAAAAACCACAUAAAUCA